rnacentral:misc_RNA from 1 species
AAGUCGUAACAAGGUUUCCGUAGGUGAACCUGCGGAAGGAUCAUCAUCGAAUUCAUACCCCCUCCCCCUCUCACCGGGGGGGUGGGCUCAUGAUAAACCCUUCUGUGCACUGUAAACCGUUCACUUUGGUAGGCUUUGGUCGCGAGUGUUCCGCUCGCCCCAACCUCGCGUGCCCCUCCCAAGGGGGACGCGAGGCGGCCUGCCGGAGUCCUCUUCUGAAAAACUCGUUCGAGAACACGUCUGAAAAUUUCCUUUGAGAAAUCAAAGAACCGAAAACAACUUUCAACAACGGAUCUCUUGGCUCUC